rnacentral:rRNA from 1 species
ACUCCUACGGGAGGCAGCAGUAGGGAAUCUUCCACAAUGGGCGCAAGCCUGAUGGAGCAACACCGCGUGAGUGAAGAAGGGUUUCGGCUCGUAAAGCUCUGUUGUUAAAGAAGAACACGUAUGAGAGUAACUGUUCAUACGUUGACGGUAUUUAACCAGAAAGUCACGGCUAACUACGUGCCAGCAGCCGCGGUAAUACGUAGGUGGCAAGCGUUAUCCGGAUUUAUUGGGCGUAAAGAGAGUGCAGGCGGUUUUCUAAGUCUGAUGUGAAAGCCUUCGGCUUAACCGGAGAAGUGCAUCGGAAACUGGAUAACUUGAGUGCAGAAGAGGGUAGUGGAACUCCAUGUGUAGCGGUGGAAUGCGUAGAUAUAUGGAAGAACACCAGUGGCGAAGGCGGCUACCUGGUCUGCAACUGACGCUGAGACUCGAAAGCAUGGGUAGCGAACGGGAUUAGAUACCCUGGUAGGAUAGCG